GACGAACGCUGGCGGCGUGCUUAACACAUGCAAGUCGAACGGAAAGGCCUGCUUUUGUGGGGUGCUCGAGUGGCGAACGGGUGAGUAACACGUGAGUAACCUGCCCUUGACUUUGGGAUAACUUCAGGAAACUGGGGCUAAUACCGGAUAGGAGCUCCUGCUGCAUGGUGGGGGUUGGAAAGUUUCGGCGGUUGGGGAUGGACUCGCGGCUUAUCAGCUUGUUGGUGGGGUAGUGGCUUACCAAGGCUUUGACGGGUAGCCGGCCUGAGAGGGUGACCGGCCACAUUGGGACUGAGAUACGGCCCAGACUCCUACGGGAGGCAGCAGUGGGGAAUAUUGCACAAUGGGCGGAAGCCUGAUGCAGCAACGCCGCGUGCGGGACGACGGCCUUCGGGUUGUAAACCGCUUUCGCCUGUGACGAAGCGUGAGUGACGGUAAUGGGUAAAGAAGCACCGGCUAACUACGUG
rnacentral:rRNA from 1 species